rnacentral:rRNA from 1 species
CUACGGGAGGCAGCAGUGGGGAAUAUUGCACAGUGGACGAAAGUCUGAUGCAGCAACGCCGCGUGGAGGAUGACACAUUUCGGUGCGUAAACUCCUUUUAUAUAGGAAGAUAAUGACGGUACUAUAUGAAUAAGCGCCGGCUAACUCCGUGCCAGCAGCCGCGGUAAUACGGAGGGCGCAAGCGUUACUCGGAAUCACUGGGCGUAAAGAGCGUGUAGGCGGAUAGAUAAGUCAGGAGUGAAAUCCUAUGGCUCAACCAUAGAACUGCUCUUGAAACUGUCUAUCUAGAAUAUGGGAGAGGUAGAUGGAAUUUCUGGUGUAGGGGUAAAAUCCGUAGAGAUCAGAAGGAAUACCGAUUGCGAAGGCGAUCUACUGGAACAUUAUUGACGCUGAGACGCGAAAGCGUGGGGAGCAAACAGGAUUAGAUACCCGAGUAGUC